GGGGACCUUCGGGGCCCUAUAACCCGGGCGGGACACUCGCCCAAUCACAUAGGUGGGACCAAGUUCCUGCCGUUUGCUAAACGGAAGACAGAAA
rfam:Roseovarius aestuarii strain CECT 7745 genome assembly, contig: 0019